rnacentral:rRNA from 1 species
GACGAACGCUGGCGGCGUGCUUAACACAUGCAAGUCGAACGGAAAGGCCCUGCUUUUGUGGGGUGCUCGAGUGGCGAACGGGUGAGUAACACGUGAGUAACCUGCCCUUGACUUUGGGAUAACUUCUGGAAACUGGGGCUAAUACCGGAUAGGAGCUCCUGCUGCAUGGUGGGGGUUGGAAAGUUUCGGCGGUUGGGGAUGGACUCGCGGCUUAUCAGCUUGUUUGUGGGGUAGUGGCUUACCAAGGCUUUGACGGGUAGCCGGCCUGAGAGGGUGACCGGCCACAUUGGGACUGAGAUACGGCCCAGACUCCUACGGGAGGCAGCAGUGGGGAAUAUUGCACAAUGGGCGGAAGCCUGAUGCAGCAACGCCGCGUGCGGGAUGACGGCCUUCGGGUUGUAAACCGCUUUCGCCGGUGACGAAGCGUGAGUGACGGUAAUGGGUAAAGAAGCACCGGCUAACUACGUG